rnacentral:rRNA from 1 species
CCUACGGGAGGCUGCAGUGAGGAAUAUUGGUCAAUGGGCGGGAGCCUGAACCAGCCAAGUCGCGUGAAGGAAGAAGGUACUUAGUAUUGUAAACUUCUUUUGUCGGGGAACAAAGGCGGAGACGCGUCUCCGGAUGAGUGUACCCGAAGUAAAAGCAUCGGCUAACUCCGUGCCAGCAGCCGCGGUACUACGGAGGAUGCGAGCGUUAUCCGGAUUUAUUGGGUUUAAAGGGUGCGCAGGCGGGAGAUCAAGUCAGCGGUAAAAUGGCGGGGCUCAACCCCGGCCGGCCGUUGAUACUGGUUUACUAGAGUUAGAGAGAGGUAAGCGGAAUUCGUGGUGUAGCGGUGAAAUGCAUAGAUAUCACGAAGAACACCGAUUGCGAAGGCAGCAUACCGGCGCGCAACUGACGCUCAGGCACGAAAGCGUGGGUAGCGAACAGGAUUAGAUACCCCAGUAGUC